UACGUAGGGUGCGAGCGUUGUCCGGAAUUAUUGGGCGUAAAGGGCUCGUAGGCGGUUUGUCGCGUCGGGAGUGAAAACACCGGGCUUAACUCGGUGCUUGCUUUCGAUACGGGCAGACUAGAGGCAUGCAGGGGAGAACGGAAUUCCUGGUGUAGCGGUGAAAUGCGCAGAUAUCAGGAGGAACACCGGUGGCGAAGGCGGUUCUCUGGGCCUGUACUGACGCUGGAGGAGCGAAAGCGUGGGGAGCGAACAGG
rnacentral:rRNA from 1 species